GAGAGGCUGUGGACCAAGUGCGUCAGUACUGAGAGUGGUAGUGAGGGUCCCAGGCUGGUGCAGCAUGAAGAGUACCACAAGAAAUGCCCACCUGUGAGACCGCUGAGGCCGGGCAGCGCCUAUCCACCUCCCCACCCACUUUUUCUCAGAUCACAGGCCUGGGAUCUUGGUACAGUCCAAAUGGUGGGGAAAGAGCAUGGAGAAUAACAAAUACAGAACACUUCUUGUUGACUUCUUCAGGUGAGAGCUCCAGGCGAGAUUUGAUUUAAAUUAGAAAGAAAAUGUUACAUUAGUAGCAACACCAGUAUUAUGGAGAAAUCUGUAAAACUAUUGAACUUAGAACUAAGUAUUAUUUAACUUGCACAGUCUCUGUAAGACAUAUCAUGCACUUAAACUCUUGUCAGACCAGUAAAGUAAAGUUUAUUUUAGUGCUUGUCACGGAUUGGAUUCCCUGGGAAGCAGAUGCUGUGUUGGAGAUGUGCACAUCACAAUGUUAUUGCAGGAGCAUGUUCUUGGGAAUACAAAUGUGGGGGAGUGAAGAGAAGAAAGCAGGAUGAAGCAGAAGGAAAAGAGGAGCUGCAAUCCAGUGCCCAAAGAGCUGUAGAACUGAGAUCACUCUGAAGAACUGUCCCAAACUGGAAGAAGAGGGGCAAGUAAUUAUAAUACCCUAUUGAUAAUCAUUGGAUGAGAGCUUCCCUGGGGAAGGAGGCAUUACUUUGUUCAUGGUGGGUCCCUUAAGCUAACGCAGUUUCAUCACAACGAUGCUCUCAAUCUGGAGUACACACAUCAAGAGAUGGGCAGACCCUUCAGGAGAGGUUUAAUGCAUCCAGUACACAUCGUGGUCGCUCCGCACAUGCUGGUACCCCCUGCUCCAUUAGCAGAAAUUGCUAAUUCUGAAGGUCUCCCCAUUUAAUGUAAUCCACCUCUCCCUCAUUUAAUCACAAAUACAUUCACGCCCUUCCCAGCAGGAGACAACUGAAUAUCACGUUGUGGGCUGUUCUUCAGUAGGACAACCACUGGAAAGGGCAGUUUGUUGUCAAAUGAGCAUGUCAAAUGAACUCCAACCACUGCAAGGCAAAAUGAAACCCACGCUACCUAAAAGGUGUAGAUAUCAGUCCAUGUAAUUGAAAUCUGUCGACUUGGGGGUAAGUUAAAGAAACACCGUGUUGUUGUAGAAGGCCAUUGACAUCUUCUCCUGGUAAAACCCCCAGAGGGUGCUGUCUUAAGGUGUUGGACAGAAACUGCCCCAUGGCAUCUACACACUGGAUGUUGAUUUGAGUUAAACUGAGCAUUUGACAGAAGGAUUCUGACCCAUUCCCUGGAGUGAUUUGGGAAGGUAUUUAUAAAAAGGAAUGAUGUGCUCCAGUGAUUUACAAUAAUGGCAUAUAUUGUUUUGUCUUUGGUUUGUUUCUUGAUUGUAAAUAUUGGUCAGUGUCCAAAAUUAAGAUGCAAUCACUGGUUACCCCAACCUGGGAUGUUUAUUUGGAAAAACACAAAGUGGUUUAAAAUUCAUACAAAUCACUCUAAACCUGGGUACACUCUUUUUCUUUAAAUCUUAGAUUCUGCUGUCAGAUCAAGAGAAAAAGGGAAAGCUUUCAUAUUGCUCAAAAUGAUUUUUUAAAAUUUCCUUCAUUUCUUACUUCCUUCUCAACUCUUUUCCACUCUAAAACAUUCUCAACUCCCUAACUCAUUAAGAUAUUUUAUUCAUAAAGAGAACUUAAAUUAAGAUUUAAAUAAAUAUUUAUUAAACUGUUUUCCAGAUUUACAAAAUCCAGCUGGGUAACUCAUUGAAAAUAAGUACUGUGUAAUCUGUUGUCUAGUAAAAAGGGUUUGAACAGGAUGUUUAGGCCACAUCUCAGCUCCAUCAUUCCUUCUGGUAUCCUGGCAUCACUGGGUAAGUUCACAGUUUAAGGAAGGAAUCUGAGGUGGUAGAACCAGGUGUGCUGGAGAGGCAGCCUAGGUCAGUGGCUAAGAGUGAAAUUCUGGCUUCACCACUUUCUAGCUCUUACAACCUUAGGAAGGUUAUGUAAUUUCAUAUUAUUAUUAUUAUUAAAGCCUUAUGAUAUAGUUAUUAUUAUUAUCUCCAUUUUAAAGAUGAGAAAACACAGAGCACAAAACCAUAAAGACUGUGUCUGGGAUGCAGUAAGUGUUAUGUAAGGGUGUUAAGCAAGUAAGCAUACAAAAUGCAGGACCAAAAGAAGCAACACCAGCCCCCAAACUACACCAUGUGAAUUUCCAAAGAACCAAGUGUUCACACUACAUCAAAACGAGCCUGUUGAAUCUUUUGGACUCUGAGAAAUAAAGCAUAGUUAUUAUCAAAUUAAGAUUUAAAUUCAAUUCCUCAGCUGCGUCUUGAUCACUGGAUACCACUUUAAUAAUCACAUUAUUAAAGAAAGUUCCAAGUUUGGGGUGGAAUACUGCAGAUGAGGAAAGUAGAAAUUACUGCUAUAUUAUGAUCUACACUUUGUCUUAAUAUGAUCUGGCCCAUAUAAAAAUGCUCCAGAACAGUUGCAAAAUAUGGAUAUUUUUCUUUGAAAACCAGCCUUUUGUCUUUAUAACUUACAAAGCCAUUUUUCCCAGUCCACAAAGCUAUUUGGUCACAAAUUUAAGAAACCAGUGAUUCCUGAGAUAUAUGUGCUUUCACACUUCAGGAAAUAAUUUCAAAAUGAUUUUGGCAGUCUACCCAUUUUUAUAAAGAUAAAAAACUAAAAUAUUAUUUUGUCUUAGAAAUAAGUAUUAAUAGAGACAUUAUUAUAUCUUUGCCCCUAGAGCUUUAGAAGCAAAGAUUUGUCUUUCUCUUCCUCUCUCUCUCACUCUUCCCUAUUUCCUCCUUCCUGGUGAGUCUUACUUCUGUAUACUAGAGUAAUUAUAUCUAUUUUUUUGAAUGCUUUUGUAUGUAUAUUAUAAAGUGUUUCCUUUCUUGUUCUCAAUUCAAAUGGAAUACUGAACUGUGCUCUCUGUAUACUAAGUUAACUGGGGCCUGUCGGGGGGGUGGGGGGAGGGGGGAGGGAUAGCAUUAGGAGGAAAACCUAAUGUAAAUGAUGAGUUAAUGGGUCCAGCAAACCAACAUGGCACAUGUAUACAUAUGUAACAAACCUGCACGUUGUGCACAUGUACCCUAGAACUUAAAGUAUAAUAAAAAAAAAAAUUUAAAAAAAAAUUUUGCCCAGCUCGUUUUUUUUCUUUAACUAGAAUACUAAAGAGAUACAAUGAUCUAUUUUAAACAAAGCUAUUUGUCUUAGUAUUUUUUAAAAUAGUACAAGGUGGAAAACAAGCUCAGGGUCUAUCCCUAUCAGAAUAGUCAAACAACCAGAGUUCAUGCAUACUCUAGUAUAAUCUGCAUCUGCUUAAAAAUUUGAAGUCACAUAUACUAAUUUUAAAAAGCCAAUUCCGACACAUUUUAAGAGGGAAACGAUGCAGAUUUUCCGCUCUAGCUCUGCUAUGGUUUGAUUCUUUGUCUCUUCCAAAACUCAUGUUGAAAUUUUAUCCCCAGUGUGGCAGUAUUGAGAGGUUAGGCCUUUAAGAGGUGAUUGGAUUGUGAGGGUUCUGACACGAAUAGAUUGAUCCAUUUGUGGAUUAAUGGGCUAUCACAGGAGUGGAAAGAGAGGAAGAGAGAUCUGAGCUAGCACACUUAGAAAGCUUGCCAUGUGAUACCCUGUGCCACCUUGGAACUCUAUAGAGAAUCCCCACCAGCAAGAAGGCCCUCACUAGAUGCAGACCCUCGACCCUGGACCUCUCUCAGCCUCCUUAACUGUAAGAAAUAUAUUCUUUUCUUUAUAAAUUACCCAGUUUCGGGUAUUUUGUUGUAAGCAACAGAAAACUAAGACAAGCUCUCUUUAUAUAUGUGUGUGUAUAUAUAUAUAUAUAUAUAUAUAUGUAUUUUUUUUCUGUGUAGCAAAAUCCCAUUUAUGUUUUUUCUCAAUGAAUAGAAGGCCUGAGAAGAGUUAACCUUUCUGAAGAUACAGCUAUGAGUGUGCCAGUAGUAAUGGGAUAACCUUUUACUCUGUAUUGCCAGAAUCUUUCAAAAGGACAAAUUCAUGUAUAUUUUGUAUUAUUAUUUCUUAAGUCUGUGGUCUGCAACAGAGAAUAAAAAGCUGUUUCAUAUCUUCUGUGUGUGCAAGGAACACAGCAGGAUUCUGAAGAGGAAGUUUGCCAUUCUCUGCUUGUCAAGGCUCCUCUCCAAGCCCAUGAUCACCCUUCCUUUUUAGCAGCAUUCUGAAGACCCCUGCUGGGAUGGUCUACCGUGGAGAGAGCACCGUCCACCAUUCCAAAUUUAUUGCUGCCUUUCGUCUAUCAGAAUUUAUCUGCCCCAUUCCCUUUUUGUUUGCCUUGCUUUCUUCCCCAAAAGGUGAAAGUUGAUACUAAUUAAGUGCUAUCUCCAAAGGCCUCUAAAAAUAGAGCAUAAAGCAAUAAAUAACAUCAUACAAGAAUAAAUCAACAGAGUUGAUAAGUCAUUUUCUGCUAAGAAAUAUGAACUGGCUCAAUGUACAUAAAAAUUAGAUGUAAGAGUAUCUGUUUUGGGUUGCUUCAGGUGUGAGAUAGGGAUGAUGCUCCAGUAGCCAAUACCACCCCAAAAACACAGGUAUGAAAGAUCUCUCCAUACUUUUUCUCUACUGUGCUGACAGUCCCUUUAGACUUACUUGUAUAUCAAGGUGUUUUAAAGACAGUAUAUUCUUGAAGUGGCCAAGCCACAGGGUUGGGAAGACAUGAAGCAUUUGCUCCUGAGAUGACUGGAAGGUCCAGAACUCUGAGUGUAGGCAAGACCACUAACAUCUUUGGCUCAUGAGAGGCAGCCAGUCCUGGCAAGUCACUUCAUAUGUGGGUAGAGGUUGCAUCUCUGGUCCAGCGGAGCCCCUAGUGCCAACUCCUCAGAUGCACUGUCCUUCCUCCUCACUCUAUCACACUCCUUCGUCAUCCUUCCUGUAAGCUUGACACCUACCGAACUACCCUUUUAAUGUCACACUGUCCCAAGAUUUACCCUCAAGAAAUAACGCCAGAAAGUCCAC
rnacentral:lncRNA from 1 species